rnacentral:rRNA from 1 species
UUUUCUUUACUUGUUGAUGAGUCCAGAGAUGCAUCAAUAAAGGAGCAAAUGGCUAUGGUUUUAAGGUAUGUCGAUAAACAUGGGUAUGCGAUUGAGAGGUUCAUUGGGAUUAAGCAUGUUGGUGACACAAGGGCUGCUUCUCUAAAAGCAGCUUUGGAUGGUAUGUUUCUUAAACAUGGCUUGUCUAUGUCUAAAUUGAGAGGGCAAGGGUACGAUGGAGCUUCUAACAUGAGAGGACAAUUUCGUGGGUUGCAAAGGUUGAUACUAGAUGAAAAUCCUUAUGCAUUUUAUAUUCAUUGCUUUGCCCAUCAGUUGCAGUUAGUGGUUGUUGCCGUUGCCAAGUGUUGUUCCUCUGUAUUGGAUUUC